AAAUUGUUUAAUCCUUGCUGUGGAGGGAACAGCCUUCAUUGGCCAGCCCAGCAUCCGGGCGCUUAACUCUACCACACAGGGUGUCCUAGGACAGCUUAUCUGAACACAGACUACCCGGGAGAACUGUGCCCCUGAGGUGCUCCCCGGAAACCCAAGGGCAUUUGCAGUGGCUGUGCCAGGAGCUUGGAAGUGUAUGAGCUGAAUUGUCCACACAGCUGCAAAUGAGGUCCAUCGAGGCCUAUUCACAUUUGAACUUUAGAAUUCCUGAUGGUGGGCUGAAAGACUGACUUCUGUCAAAGGGAUUUUGAGCAGGUGAAGCUGGUGAUUCAAUCUGCUGGGAGUCAAGGAUCAUUCUAUGAAAUAUAAAUACAAAGC
rnacentral:lncRNA from 1 species